CGCGCCUGACCAGAGAGCACCGCCACGGUUUUUGUUGAGUGUUUGGCACUCUAAAAAGGCAUCAACACCUAUAUUAUUAGCACCACAUAAUCACACAAUCUCGCAAACACUCAGAUGCUCGGAUAGUGUUCCAAGUUCAUCAUCAGCUAAAAGCCAGCCUUACAAUGGACUACCAUUUUCCCUUUUAAACCCCGCUAGGACUCACGACAUGCCUCGACUUACAGGUGGGACCCCGGUUAUAACCCAGUUGUCACCAACAUACUUCGGAUUCAGCUUCCUCUCCCGAUGGCUUUCUCCUUAGCUUCUGGUCCUCAUCAACUCCAGCUUCUGCAACCGGCUUCUCUUCCCUUGGCCUGGUUACUGUGGUUCGUCCGGAAUGACGGUUCAGUUCAUCAGUAUGACACCCUGCAGCUGUUGACAUAUUUUUGCUUUGCACUAGGUAUAGAUUCCAACAACAUGAAGGCGGAAAUUUGAGGAAGCUCAUAGCUCUAGAUCCAUCCAGUAACCAUCUCAGAGGCUUCAUCGCGAAUGAAAUUAUAUAAACUUGACAUCAGUGUCAGCAUAUUUGGUUUUUUCGGACAACUUACUGGAGGGACUUAUUCCUUUUGAAGUUGGCAAUCUUGAACACACUACCGGACAUAGCUUCUUUGUCGAGUGCUUAAGGGUUUAGGGUUUAGGAUAUGGGAACUACUAGUAC
rnacentral:lncRNA from 1 species